ACACGACUACAUUAGAUACCCGGGUAGUCCUAGCCGUAAACGAUACUCGCUAGGUGUCGGCCACGGUGCGACCGUUGUCGGUGCCGUAGGGAAGCCGUGAAGCGAGCCACCUGGGAAGUACGGCCGCAAGGCUGAAACGUUAAAGGAAUUGGCGGGGGAGCACCACAAGAGGUGGAGGCUGCGGUUCAAUUGGACUCAACGCCGGAAAACUCAUCGGGAGCGACAGCAGUAUGAUUGCCAGGUUGAUGACCUUGCUUGACAAGCUG
rnacentral:rRNA from 1 species